UGGGGUUUAAAAAAAGUUUAAUUUUGGCUUUAAAGUUUUCUUUAUUUUUAUUUUUACAUGCAAAUUUUAGUGGGAUUGUUUUAAAGUUUAAAUAAUUUUAGAAUUAUAAUAUAAUCGCAGUAUUAAGUAUUAAAUAUUAAAGAAAUUUAGAUUUAAUAAUAAAAUUAAAAAUUGACAAAAUUUGUGCCAGCAGUUGCGGUUACACAAAUAAUUUAAGAAAAUUUCUUUGGAGUUAGUUAAAUUAAUAUAAAACUUAAUUUUAAUUAAAUUUUUUAGGUGAAAUUUGAAAUUUAUAUUAAAUUAAUUUAUAGUUUUUGAAUCUGAUAAAUUUAAAUUAAAAACUAGGAUUAGAUACCCUAUUAUUUUGAACUUAAACGUUUGCUCUAAAUUAGUAACAGUUAUGAUCUCUAAAAUUAAAAAAUUUGGCGGUAUUUUAGUCUUUUCAGAGGAACCUGUUCUAUAAUUGAUAGUCCACGAUUAAUUGUACUUAUCUUAAAAAUUUAUAUAUCGUCGUAGUUUGAAUAUUUUAAAAGAAUAAUAAUAUUCAAAAUUUUAUAUUUAAAAUAAAAUCAGAUCAAGGUGUAGUUUAUAGAUAAGAAGAAAUGGGUUACAAUAAUAUUAUUUUUGGAUAUAUUUAUGAAAUUAAUUAUUGAAAUUGGAUUUGAAAGUAAUAAAAUUUAUUUAUUUUUUAUGAUUUAAGCUCUAAAAUAUGUACAUAUUGCCCGUCGCUUUUGUUUUAAGAUGAAAUAAGUCGUAACAAAGUAGAUUUACUGGAAAGUGAAUCUAG
rnacentral:rRNA from 1 species